CUAAACUGAGGGAGGUACGUCGAAACUGAUUGGCUCGAGGAACGUAGAGGAAGGCGGAACUCUCGGAGUAGCGGUGAAAUGCGUAGAGACCGAGAGGUACCCCGAUGGUGAAGACAGCCUUCUGGGCGUUUCCUGACGCUGAAGCGCUAAGGCCAGGGGAGCGAAGGGGAUUAGAUACCCCCGUAGUCCUGGCUUCAAACGAUGUGGGCUUGGUGUCGGCUCCCGACAGAGAGUCGUUGCCGGAGUUAACGCGUUAAGCCCACCGCCUGGGGACUACGUCCGCAAGGAUGAAACUCAAGGGAAUUGACGGGGGCCCACACAACCGGUGGAGCACGUGGUUUAAUUCGAUGAUAAGCGAGGAACCUUACCAGGGCUUGACCUAGCGGUAGUAGGACCCUGAAAGGGGAACGACCUCAAGCCUUGCUUGAGGAGCC
rnacentral:rRNA from 1 species